AACGAACGCUGGCGGCAUGCCUAACACAUGCAAGUCGAACGAGACCUUCGGGUCUAUUCGCGCACGGGUUCGUAACGCGUGGGAACCUUCCCUUAGGUUCGGCAUAACUCCCCGAAAGGGGUGCUAAUACCGGAUAAUGUCUUCUGACCAAAGAUUUAUCGCCUUUGGAUGGGCCCGCGUUGGAUUAGCUCGUUGUUAGGGUAAAAGCCUCCCAAGGCGAGGAUCCAUAGCUGGUAUGAGAGGAUGAUCAGCCACACUGGGACUGAGACACGGCCCAGAAUCCUACGGGAGGCAGCAGUGGGGAAUAGUGGAAAAUGGGCGAAAGCAUGAUGCAGCAAGGACGCGUGAGUGAUGAAGGUAUUAGGGUUGUAAAGCUCUUUUAACCGGGAUGAUAAUGACAGUACCGGGAGAAUAGGCCCCGGCUAACUACGUG
rnacentral:rRNA from 1 species